CGCCGAAACGCCGCCUACUGGUGGCGUCAUCCUGCCGUGGUGGGCAGGGUCUGACGAUGGCAGCUAAUG
rnacentral:hammerhead_ribozyme from 1 species